GACGAACGCUGGCGGCGUGCUUAACACAUGCAAGUCGAACGGAAAGGCCCUGCUUGUGUGGGGUGCUCGAGGGGCGAACGCGUGAGUAACACGUGAGUAACCUUCCCUGGAGUUGGGGACAACUUGAGGAAACUGGGGCUAAUACCGGAUAGGAGCUGCUGCUGCAUGGUGGGGGUGGGAAAGUUUCGGCGGUUGGGGAUGGACUCGCGGCUUAUCAGCUUGUUGGUGGGGUACUGGCUAACCAAGGCUUUGACGGGUAGCCGGCAUGAGAGGGUGACCGGCCACAUUGGGACUGAGAUACGGCCCAGACUCCUACGGGAGGCAGCAGUGGGGAAUAUUGCACAAUGGGCGGAAGCCUGAUGCAGCAACGCCGCGUGCGGGAUGACGGCCUUCGGGUUGUAAACCGCUUUCGCCUGUGACGAAGCGUGAGUGACGGUAAUGGGUAAAGAAGCACCGGCUAACUACGUG
rnacentral:rRNA from 1 species